GCUUAACGCGAAGAACCUUACCUAGGUUUGACAUACAAGUGGUAGGAAGCCGAAAGGUGACUGACUCUUCGGAGAGCUUGUACAGGUGCUGCAUGGUUGUCGUCAGCUCGUGCCGUGAGGUGUUCGGUUAAGUCCGCAAACGAGCGCAACCCUUAUCGUUAGUUACAAGUGUCUAGCGAGACUGCCCGUGGCAAACGGGAGGAAGGUGGGGAUGACGUCAAAUCAGCAUGGCCUUUAUAUCUAGGGCUACACACACGCUACAAUGGCGCGUACAAUGGGCAGCGAAGCCGCGAGGUGGAGCCAAUCCCGAAAGCGCGUCUCAGUUCGGAUUGUAGGCUGCAACUCGCCUGCAUGAAGUCGGAGUUGCUAGUAACCGUGUAUCAGCACGGCACGGUGAAUACGUUCCCGGGUCUUGUACACACCG
rnacentral:rRNA from 1 species